rnacentral:rRNA from 1 species
UACGUAGGGGGCAAGCGUUGUCCGGAAUCAUUGGGCGUAAAGCGCGUGUAGGCGGUCCGGUAAGUCCGCUGUAAAAGUCGGGGGCUCAACCCUCGGAUGCCGGUGGAUACUGUCGGGCUUGAGUACGGAAGAGGCGAGUGGAAUUCCUGGUGUAGCGGUGGAAUGCGCAGAUAUCAGGAAGAACCCCCGUGGCGAAGGCGGCUCUCUGGAACGCAACUGACGCUGAGACGCGAAAGCGUGGGGAGCAAACAGG